AUGCAGUGCGUGCAAUAGUUCCCAAUAAGAGCAACAAUGAAAUCAUCCUGGUUUUGCAGCACUUUGAUAAUUGCGUGGACAAAACAGUACAAGCAUUUAUGGAAGGUAGUGCCAAUGAAGUACUCAAAGAAUGGACAGUAACAGGCAAGAAAAAG